rnacentral:rRNA from 1 species
AUCCUUGAGGCGGGGAUAACCCUUCGAAAGAGGGGCUAAUACCGGAUGAGCCCACAGGCAGAGAUGCCAGGGGGCAAAGGAUGCAUGGUGAUCCAUGCAUGUCUUCAGGGCGGGGCCCACGGCCUAUCAGCUAGUUGGUGUGGUAACGGCGCACCAAGGCGAAGACGGGUAGCUGGUCUGAGAGGAUGGCCAGCCACACGGGGACUGAGACACGGCCCCGACUCCUACGGGAGGCAGCAGUGGGGAAUAUUGGGCAAUGGGCGCAAGCCUGACCCAGCGACGCCGCGUGGGUGAUGAAGGCCUUCGGGUCGUAAAGCCCUGUCGGGUGGAAAGAACGGUCGUGCGGCGAAUAGGCGUGCGACGUGACGGUACCACCGAAGGAAGCACCGGCCAAUUCCGUGCCAGCAGCCGCGGUAAGACGGAAGGUGCAAGCGUUGCUCGGAAUCACUGGGCGUAAAGGGUGCGUAGGCGGCUUGGUAAGUCGGGUGUGAAAGCCCCGGGCUCAGCCUGGGAAGGGCACUCGAAACUGUCGAGCUGGAGUGCCGGAGGGGAGAGUGGAAUUCCUGGUGUAGCGGUGAAAUGCGUAGAUAUCAGGAGGAAUACCGGUGGCGAAAGCGACUCUCUGGACGGCAACUGACGCUGAGGCACGAAAGCGUGGGGAGCAAACAGGAUUAGAUACCCUGGUAGUCC